UACGGAGGGUGCAAGCGUUAUCCGGAUUCACUGGGUUUAAAGGGUGCGUAGGUGGGCAGGUAAGUCAGUGGUGAAAUCCUUGAGCUUAACUCGAGAACUGCCAUUGAUACUAUCUGUCUUGAAUGUUGUGGAGGUGAGCGGAAUAUGUCAUGUAGCGGUGAAAUGCUUAGAUAUGACAUAGAACAUCUAUUGCGAAGGCAGCUCACUACGCAAAUAUUGACACUGAGGCACGAAAGCGUGGGGAUCAAACAGG
rnacentral:ncRNA from 2 species